GGAUUAAUUUAUUGGUCGUGCUAUUGUACGUACUGGUAUUAUUGAUUCCUACCUUCUGACGAACCACGAUGUCAUUAAUUUGGUGUCAUGGGGAAUCAGGACUGUUACUUUGAAAAAAUUAGAGUGUUUAAAGCAGGCCAACGCUUGAAUACAUUAGCAUGGAAUGAUGAAAUAGGACAUCGCAUUCUAUUUUGUUGGUUUCUAGGAUCGAUGUA
rnacentral:rRNA from 1 species